rnacentral:rRNA from 1 species
GAUGAACGCUGGCGGCGUGCCUAAUACAUGCAAGUCGAGCGAACAGACGAGGAGCUUGCUCCUCUGACGUUAGCGGCGGACGGGUGAGUAACACGUGGAUAACCUACCUAUAAGACUGGGAUAACUUCGGGAAACCGGAGCUAAUACCGGAUAAUAUAUUGAACCGCAUGGUUCAAUAGUGAAAGACGGUUUUGCUGUCACUUAUAGAUGGAUCCGCGCCGCAUUAGCUAGUUGGUAAGGUAACGGCUUACCAAGGCAACGAUGCGUAGCCGACCUGAGAGGGUGAUUCGCCACACUUGAACCGAGACACCGUCCCAGAUUCCACGGGGAGCAAGAAUAAGGGAACCUCCCGCAUGGGGCGAAGGCCUGAGGGGGAAACGCCGGUGGAUGAUUGAGGGUUUCCGAAUCGUAAACCUUGUUUAUAGGGAAGAACAAAUGUGUAAGUAACUAUGCACGUCUUGACGGUACCUAAUCAGAAAGCCACGGCUAACUACGUG